GUCUGUGGCCAUAGCACCCUGACUGCGCCGGAUCGUCUCUGAUUUCGGGAGCUAAGCAGGGUCAGGCCUGGUUAGUACGUGUAUGGGAGAUCAGAUUAAUUCGUUCCUUAAAAGCAAGGGCUCCGGAUU
ensembl:rRNA 5S_rRNA 5S ribosomal RNA